rnacentral:misc_RNA from 1 species
AACGCACCUUGCGCCCUCUGGUAUUCUGGAGGGCACGCCUGUUUGAUGGCGCGAAACAAAAGUCAUUUGUUAUGGUAUGAUGCAUUUUGCAGCACGCUCUAACAAUUGACGUUCGUGGAUGCUGGCUGUUCAAUUGACUUUGUUCAGCCCUUCCCGGCAGCAUUGCCUGCCUGGUCAUCCGAAAUGCAGUCCUUUUUUGCUGUCGCUUUUCUUGCAUCUUAAAGCUUUUGGGCUAUACACGCAGUCUGUAGUUUGUGUCAUAAUUACCCAUUGGGUUUGUUGAUCACUAGUGAUGAUUGUGUGUGUCUGGAAUCACAAAGUGUGCAGGCUUGUCGGGAGUUGGAGGAUCUUUCUGGGUGUGGGGCCCUCUAAAUUCGUCAUCAAAUCAGGUGGGAUUACCCGCUGAACUUAA